AUGUCAGGAGGAUCCUAUGCUUCUGGACCAUGGCUGACCAUGGGUAACGAAAACCAUGGAAGAUCCUGUAUACUGGAACAACAGGCUCAAGGUAACAAAGUCUGCUAAAUAAACACAGAAUGGGAAAUUCCUAGCUCAUCUCCAGUUCCUGCCUGUACCCCCUUGCAUGGCCAAGCUAUGCACAGCUGGAGAGGCCCAGGCCGUCACAGAGGAGAACCGAAGGACAUAUGGGUUAAGGCUCCGGUGAACCCACCCCCGAAGUGGACCCCUAAUAAAGCUAAUUAUAAAUUAAAUCCACUUCUUCCACGCAGCCCAUGUGGGGCCUACUUGAGAGACAGGUGUUUUCGAGCGCACCAGCAAAGCCCUCCUACUGCAAGAAAACCACUCUUCCCCAGGGCUGGGAUGGCAACCCUGAGGAUAAGGAAGAUGAUCAAAGUGAUGGAAAAGUGGAGGCCUUCCAUUGGUACAACGUUCCAUUGUUUGCAAUGCUCUCUCACAUUCCGGCUCUCCCCUCGGCUUCCUGACAACCCUGGGAGCUCAUUAUGAUCAUUAUUCUCAGCUUCUGGUUUACAGAAGAGGAAGCUGAGCUUCAGGGGUAAGUGACUUCAUCCAAAGACACAAAGCAAGGGAGUGGCUGAGGCAGGAUUAAGGAUGCCUUUCAAUGGCAACUCCAGGCUGGAUUUUCAGAACGAGAAGACCAAUGAGUUUCCCUUUCCUCUCUGGGGCCCCAGACUUGGGAAACUGUUGAGAUGAGUAAAUGGAUGCAUGUUCAGGACCUGAUACUCAGUGGUGUUUCUGGAAACGUCUGAGAAGAGAGGGGAGACUCAGUUCCAAAUAUAGAA